CCUGCCUCAGCCUCCUGAGUAGCUGGAAUUACAGCCAUCACCAGUUCAGACCACCAUCAUUUCUCACUGCUGCGGCCUUCUCUCAGAUAUCCCCACUUCUACAACUGAAAGGAAUGGCAAAAACAGCAACUACUUUUGCACCAACCUAAUAAGACAUCCAGCAUUGUCCAUCUCAGCUCCUUGUUUAUUUCCUACUUAGUCCCUACUAAAACUUGACAUUUUGGUCUGUUUGUUUAAAUAGGUCUGUUUUAUGUCUCUCUCCCACAGGAGUAUGAGGGCAGGGACCUGUUUACCACAGUAUUUCCAGUGCCCAGCACAGAGCCUGACACAAAUCAGCUGUUCACUAUAUGCUAAAUGAAUGCUCUGCAUAUUGAACUGUUUCCAUAUUCAUACAUAGAGAUGAAGGAAAUUUGAUUUAAUUUCAAUAAAUUCUGUAUUGUUAGAUGUUUCAA